AUACAAUUUAGUGUCAUAAAAAGAAACUAUACAAUAUACUUUUAAAAUAAAAUGUGAAAAAUAGAUCUCAUACAUGUUUUUAGAAAAUAAAAAUAAAAUAAAACGUGGUCAGAAAAUGAUACGUGUCACACAAAGGAUUGAUUUAUACUGUUUUUUUUCAAUAAUUGAUCCUCAGGAAACAAUUCAAAGAGAUCUGUUUUAGUUUGAAAAAUUUCUAUACUAUAUACAUUGGUUAAUAUGCAAAUGCCUUAUUUACUAUGACGCUUAUUUCCGUUUGAGUUCUUAGAUAAUGCAUCAAAAAUCUGAUUUUAUAUCCUGUAACUGGUUACACGAAUAAGGCCAAUGUUUGCAUGCCAUCAGGUCUGUAGGUCAAUAUGUAUUAUACAGACAAUUCCUUCAAAUAUAGUCUUUACUUGGUUACAAGGAUACCAGUUAAUUUGUAACCAUUUGACCAUGACAAGGAAAAAAUGUUUUAAAAUUAUAUUUUGAAAAAUGCGAAUAUAAUACCUGAACAGGGAAAUGUAACUAUGUCAAUAUGUUUUCCCGAAAUGACAUAAAAGAC
rnacentral:lncRNA from 1 species